rnacentral:rRNA from 1 species
GGCGAUCGAAAAGAUUAAGCCAUGCAUGUCUAAGUUCAUGCCUUUAUACGGUGAAACCGCGAAUGGCUCAUUAAAUCAGCUAUGGUUUAUUGGAUCGUAAUCGUUAAAUGGAUAACUGUAAUAACUCUAGAGCUAAUACAUGCCACGAAGCCCUGACCUCGGCUGCAAGGUUGAGGAAUGGGUGCACUUAUUAGAUCAGAAGCCAACCAGUGCUUGCAUAGGCAACUGUGCAAGCAUUGUAGCACUUCUGGUGACUCUGGAUAAUUGUUACAGAUCGCAGUCGGCUUUACGUCGGCGACGGAUCCUUCAAAUGUCUGCCCUAUCAACUUUCGAUGGUAGGUGACCUGCCUACCAUGGUGAUAACGGGUAACGGGGAAUCAGGGUUCGAUUCCGGAGAGGGAGCCUGAGAAACGGCUACCACUUCCAAGGGAGGCAGCAGGCGCGCAAAUUACCCACUCCCGGCACGGGGAGGUGGUGACGAAAAAUACCGAUGCGGGACUCAUUUACGAGGCUCCGUAAUCGGAAUGAGUGGACUCUAAAUCCUUUCACGAGGAUCAAUUGGAGGGCAAGUCUGGUGCCAGCAGCCGCGGUAACUCCAGCUCCAAUAGCGUAUAUUAAAGUUGCUGCAGUUAAAAAGCUCGUAGUUGGAUCACGGUAGCAUUGUUGCCUGCUUAGUUGUCGUGUGCCAUAGCGUACAGCUUAUUGUGUACGCCUUGGGUAUGCCAGUGAGGUUAGUAGUGCGGUGGUGAUUGACGUCAACGCCAACCCACUCGCUGCUGCUUCACGGCUCUAGGGCUGCAUGGUGGUUGUGCAUAUAAACUGUGGCAUAUUGAGCUGGCAUGGCGAUGGUGUCACCUUUGAGCCAUGUCUGUGGUGUAAAAGCCGCAGGUGUAGAUGAGUGUCAGACAGUGUGCCACACUCGUUGUGGGACCUCGUCGGCUCGUUUGCAUGCCGGUGGAUGCCCUUGAUAAGGUGUUCACGGGCGGAUGGCACGUUUACUUUGAACAAAUUUGAGUGCUCAAAUCAGGCCGAUGUUGCCUGAAAAGUUUUGCAUGGAAUAAUGGAAUAGGACUUCGGUUCUAUUUCGUUGGUUUUCGGAUCCGAAGUAAUGAUCAAAAGAGACAGGCGGGGACGUUUGUAUGGCUGCGCUAGAGGUGAAAUUCAUGGACCGUAGCCAGACAAACUAAAGCGAAAGCAUUCGUCAAGCAUGUUUUCAUUGACCAUGAGCGAAAGUCAGAGGCUCGAAGACGAUCAGAUACCGUCCUAGUUCUGACCAUAAACGAUGCCAACUGACGAUCCGUGGCGGUAGUCUACAAACCUUCCCCACGGGCAGUCCCCGGGAAACCUUUAAGUCUUUGGGUUCCGGGGGAAGUAUGGUUGCAAAGCUGAAACUUAAAGGAAUUGACGGAAGGGCACCACCAGGAGUGGAGCCUGCGGCUUAAUUUGACUCAACACGGGAAAACUCACCCGGGCCGGAUACUAUGAGGAUUGACAGAUUGAUAGCUCUUUCUUGAUUUGGUGGUUGGUGGUGCAUGGCCGUUCUUAGUUGGUGGAGCGAUUUGUCUGGUUAAUUCCGAUAACGAACGAGACUCCAGCCUGCUAAUUAGUGCUUUCGUCCACUGCACCAGCCGAGCGGCGUAGCGCCAACUGCUAGAGCCUUUGGGUGUGUGCGGUUCAGGGCGUUGGGUGGCGGUGUUCACACUUGUGUGGGGCCGCCUCCCGCGUCUCUGCGUCGUACACAUUCGCUAACGGGGUUCGGGUCGGAUGUCGCGACGUUAGCUAGUCGGUGUGGCGCGAAUGCUCACUUCUUAGAGGGACACGCGGGAGAAGCCGCACGAAAUAGAGCAAUAACAGGUCUGUGAUGCCCUUAGAUGUUCGGGGCCGCACGCGCGCUACAAUGGCGGUGUCAACGAGUCAGACCUUCUGACCUGAAAAGGUUGGGUAAACUGGUCAAUCACCGUCAUGACAGGGAUCGGGGCUUGGAAUUGUUCCCCGUGAACGAGGAAUUCCUAGUAAGUACAAGUCAUAAGCUUGCGCUGAUUACGUCCCUGCCCUUUGUACACACCGCCCGUCGCU